UACGUAGGGGGCAAGCGUUGUCCGGAAUCAUUGGGCGUAAAGCGCGUGUAGGCGGUUCGGUAAGUCGGCUGUGAAAGUCCAGGGCUCAACCCUGGGAUGCCGGUCGAUACUGCCGGACUAGGGUUCGGAAGAGGCGAGUGGAAUUCCCGGUGUAGCGGUGAAAUGCGCAGAUAUCGGGAGGAACACCAAUGGCGAAGGCAGCUCGCUGGGACGUUACUGACGCUGAGACGCGAAAGCGUGGGGAGCAAACAGG
rnacentral:rRNA from 1 species